CAGAUAUAAACGUAAGCGCUUUCAAAAUGCGAAGGGAGAUGGAACGGAUGGGAGUAAUCAUUUGCCAAACGUGUGAGACAACAAUUGAACAUUUUGAAGAGGAAAAGGUAACAACGUUGUAUUCGAAAACAUGUCCACAUUGCCAAGAGCAAGCUAAAUUACAAAAAUAAAAAGAAGACCUGCCAAGGUCUUCUUUUUUUUGU
rnacentral:sRNA from 1 species